rnacentral:rRNA from 1 species
GUGAGGAAUAUUGGACAAUGGACGCAAGUCUGAUCCAGCCAUGCCGCGUGAAGGAUUAAGGUCCUCUGGAUUGUAAACUUCUUUUAUAAGGGACGAAAAAAGGCUUUUCUAAGUCGUCUGACGGUACCUUAUGAAUAAGCACCGGCUAACUCCGUGCCAGCAGCCGCGGUAAUACGGAGGGUGCAAGCGUUAUCCGGAUUCACUGGGUUUAAAGGGUGCGUAGGCGGGCAGGUAAGUCAGUGGUGAAAUCCUAGAGCUUAACUCUAGAACUGCCAUUGAUACUAUCUGUCUUGAAUAUUGUGGAGGUAAGCGGAAUAUGUCAUGUAGCGGUGAAAUGCUUAGAUAUGACAUAGAACACCUAUUGCGAAGGCAGCUUACUACGCAUAUAUUGACGCUGAGGCACGAAAGCGUGGGGAUCAAACAGGAUUAGAAACCCGGGUAGUCC